rnacentral:sRNA from 1 species
UCAUCUUAAUUUGAGCUACCUUCCAUAA